rnacentral:rRNA from 1 species
CCUACGGGUGGCAGCAGUGGGGGAUAUUGCACAAUGGGGGGAACCCUGAUGCAGCGACGCCGCGUGGGUGAAUGAGUGCUUCGGCAUGUAAAGCCCUAUCGGCAUGGGAGAAGCAAGACGGUACCUGACUAAGAAGCCCCGGCUAACUACGUGCCAGCAGCCGCGGUAAGACGUAGGGGGCGAGCGUUAGCCGGAUUCACUGGGCGUAAAGGGAGGGUAGACGGCCAUGCAAGCCAGGGGUGAAAGCCCGGGGCCCAACCCCGGGACUGCCCUUGGAACUGUGCGGCUAGAGUGCGGGAGGGGCAGGCGGAAUUCCUGGUGUAGCAGUGAAAUGCGUAGAUAUCAGGAGGAACACCGGCGGCGAAGGCGGCCUGCUGGACUGCGACUGACGUUGAGGCUCGAAAGCGUGGGGAGCGAACAGGAUUAGAUACCCUAGUAGUC